AUGCGCAGGGUGAAGAGCGCCUUGGAGGGACCGCAGGCUCCCUGCAGGCUUCCCCCUCCUCGGCUGCGCUUGGGUGGGAGCCCCCGGCUAAGGGCUGGAGGAGGCGCCUCGCAACAGAUGGUUCAAGCCGGCUCCCGGCUCCUAGCGCGGCCCGCAUUGGCCAGCGGCGCGGCCCGGGCGGAGGAAGGGCGGGCUGCAGUGGCGGCUCCGCGGCGGGAGCGCAGCGCCCACAUCCCAGCUCCCUCGCCUCCAGCGAGGCUGCCGAGACCACCUCCGCUCCGGAACGUCGGCCGUCUCUCACGGCUGCAGUCACCUUUGCUGCUAUUAAGCCAGGAAGAACUUUUUCAAAUUGAAGGCUGAACCUGAAUUCCUUCAAGACCAGGUAAGAAUAUACUGAGUUGAUUAUACUGUGUUCUGGAUAAUAUUUUCAUGUGGUAUGUGUUCAGAUUAAGUUUUGUGAGUAAAACUAAUUUGCCCUCUUGUUGAUGGGGCAAUCUGGCAUCAUGCAUUCAUUUAUCACAAAUAAUUUCUGAGUACCUCACAAUGCAAUGGGCUUUUAUGUGAUUAACUUUUUAAGGUGAAGGUAGGGAAGCAUGACAACAGACAGUGGAAAAAGUUUGAAAUAUUUCUGAAAUAGUAUUUCAGAAAGAAAUUUCAGAAAUUCUCUUCACUGAAUAUGACUCUCAUUGCACGUGCAUUUACAAAAAGGGAAAAGAUUUUAAAAAAUAUUUUGAAUUAUCGCCAAAGAUUUCAUAUAGUACUUGAUGAAUAUCAUAAUAAAUAAUAUCUCUGAAAUACUUCUAUUCAUAGAAAAGAAAUUACCUCCCUAACGGUUCUUAAUUUCAAUUACUUAACCGAACUUUUCAGAGACUCUGCUCUUGUGUUUGAUUUCUUUCUUCAAUGCAACUUUGACACAUGCAGGAAGGUUAACAGCCACUGCUUACAUUCUGGGCACUUGAGGACACUUUAGAUACUACCACUCUUUGUCUCAAAGGUCUGAAAAUACUUUGCAUAAAUAUUCUAUAAUAUGGGUAUGGUAUGAAGAAGCUUGUCUCCUGUAUUUGUGCCUGAAAGUAGUUCUGUUUGAAGUGUAAACACUAAUGGAAAAAACAGUAUGUUAUUUUGAGAAUAGAUUUGUAUUUAAAAGGCAAAUAUGUAAAAAACAGAGUUGGGUUUUGAUAUUUUAAACAUGACUAUUAAUGGCAUUCGUGAAUCUACUUGUUUAGCCUGAUGGAUAGAAUUUCAAAAACCUUCUUCUUAAACAUUAAAAUGUAUAUUGCCAUACAGCUCUAGGGGUAUGGACUACAGGAAAUUAGUGCUGGCUGUUUAUGGGUACUGAUUCCAUUACUGUACCCAAGAUCUCAAUACAUAUUUAGUGUAUUGAAAUCUAUCCUGUUACAGUUUUCUUUUUAAACAAUAUAUCUAAAAACUCUGAAACAAAAUACCAAGCUUUUAAUUAUCAUCUGCCUCUUUUCCUCUUUUCUCCUCUUGGUGCUCCCUAAUAGUUGUGAGCAGGACAACAAUUAAUCUGCCAAGUAGUUUUCAACACAGAGUGCAGACUUCAAGUACCUUCUGUCAAUCCACUUUUCUUCCAGGCAGAAUUUAACAAGACAUUGUGAUCUCUCCAGGUACUGCAGAUGCUCAAUACUGAAAAAAGAAACCUACCUCAUAUUACAGUGUUUUCCUAAAAUGCAAGGCUAAAGCCUUUUUGAGAAUGUUUCUAGAAAGAAUAAAGCAUGCUGUGUUGAAUAUUGUUGAAUUAGUACAUAGUUUCAGCCUUUAAAUAUAUGUAGAAUAAUUUGGAUUUUUCUUUUCCCCCCCAUCCAACUGUCUUGAAGUCUGCAAAACUUCAGAGUAACAAGUUAAUGAAAAAUAGCAGAUGCUUCCUGUAGAGAAAUAUCUGUAACUGGUUUUCUAUUUUGGGAGAAAAAUGUCUGUUCAAGUGGGAACAACAGUUGUGUCAACUACUGGAAAGUACAGUAGGUAUUUGUUAAUGUACACAGAAUAACGCUGACAUUUUCUCACAAGUAUACCUUUUGUCCUAAAGGAUUUUCACAAUAAAAAUAUCAUACUCUGUGAUACACAUUUGUGUCAAAAUCAAUAUGCAAGGUAUGUGGUUAAAAGAUGAGUACAGUUGGUAUUUGAACAUCAGUUAUUAUUGACGCUGUUCCUAUACUCUCUACACUUUGAGGCAAUUAAUGGCAGUGUUGCGAUCCUUCAAGAAAAAUUAAUUGUCCCUGCUAAUUCAGUUCCCAUGCUUCAUUCUUAACCUGUUUUCUGAUAGCCCAGCAGGUUUGGAGAGCUGGUGUUUGUUUAUACAGAAUGUUUCAUUGCUUUGAGGGGAGGAUGUGAACAUUUAAAAAUUCAGCAGCUGUUUCAGGUCACAGCUUAAGCAGCUCUUUCAUUUUGAAUGAUUUAUUUAGUUGAGCUCUCAUUGAGACAUUAGCAGUUUGCAGAGACGGUAGCCAUGUGACGAAAAGAUCCUAAUUUGUCAGCUUGAGAGAAGGGGAGGUUUGUUUCUCAGAAAGAAACAUUCAGUUUCUCAGAAAGAAAAAAGCAUGAGUUCAUUUUGUGGGUCUGACAUGUUGGCUAUCCCCAGAUACAGUUUUGAAGGAAAGAUGGCUAUCAGCCAUGCAUUUGUGAUUAGAGACUGAAAAGUGGAGAAGGGGAGGUGGCUGUGUGAGGUUAAAUGAAGGUAGCAGAGAUUGGAAUAGGAUAUUUCUUCUGAAAGAUGUGAGAGAUGGUACAUCUGUGCACAUUUGAUGCCUGAGAGGGAAAACUAGAGGGAGUUGUCAGAACUGUGAGCAGAUAUGAAUAUGAAGCUGAGCUUUCCCCCAUUUUGAGAAUAAGAU
ensembl:lncRNA